CCCUUAGAUGUUCUGGGCCGCACGCGCGCUACACUGACGGAUUCAACGAGCUUACAACCUUGGCCGAAAGGUCUGGGUAAUCUCCAAAAUCCGUCGUGAUGGGGAUAGAUUAUUGCAAUUAUUAAUCUUCAACGAGGAAUGCCUAGUAAGCGCAAGUCAUCAGCUUGCGUUGAUUACGUCCCUGCCCUUUGUACACACCGCCCGUCGCUCCUACCGAUUGAAUGGUCCGGUGAAGCGUUUGGACUAUGGUUUUCUGAUGGUCCGCCGUUGGAUCACCGUGGGAAGUUCGUUAAACCUUAUCAUUUAGAGGAAGGAGAAGUCGUAACA
rnacentral:rRNA from 1 species